rnacentral:misc_RNA from 1 species
AAGUCGUAACAAGGUUUCCGUAGGUGAACCUGCGGAAGGAUCAGUAGAGAGAGAGAGGGGAGUAGUUGGAGGGGAGAGGAAGAGGGGGGAGAGAGAAGGGGUUUUGUGGUGAGGGGAGAGAGAGGAGUGUGUGGGAGGGGAGAGAGAGAGGCAGGGGGGGAGGAUUUUGCCUGCCCCUCGGUUGCUCGAAACCACUGACCGAGCCGAUUGAUUGACUAGUUGAUUGACUAGUUGAUUGGUCGAUCCGAUCUCGAACCAGAGGACAGGCCUCUAGCCUUCUAGCCAGCCUAGCCUAGCCAAACCAACUAGUUCAAAAAUAUAUUUACGCGUGUCGAGUAUGACUGAGUAAAGGGGAGAGAAAAGGGAGAAAACAACUUUUAACAAUGGAUCUCUUGGCUCUU